ACACCGGCAGCUCUAGUGGUAGCUGUUUUUAUUGGGCCUAAAGCGUUCGCAGCCGGUUUGGUAAGUCACUGGUGAAAUCCUGUAGCUUAACUAUGGGAAUUGCUGGAGAUACUGUUGAACUUGAGGUCGGGAGAGGUUAGUGGUACUCCCAGGGUAGAGGUGACAUUCUGUAAUCUUGGGAGGACCACCAGUGGCGAAGGCGGCUAGCUGGAACGAACCUGACGGUGAGGGACGAAAGCUAGGGGCGCGAACCGGAUUAGAUACCCGGGUAGUCCUAGCCGUAAACGAUGCGGACUUGGUGUUGGGAUGGCUUUGAGCCGCUCCGGUGCCGAAGGGAAGCUGUUAAGUCCGCCGCCUGGGAAGUACGGUCGCAAGACUGAAACUCAAAGGAAUUGACGGGG
rnacentral:rRNA from 1 species